GGGAGAAAAAUGGGACAUUCCUGUAAUCUAGCUACUUGGAGGCUAGGGUGCGGAAUUUCGCGGGACCGGGAGUUCUGGCCUACAGGUGCUCAUAUUGAUCGAGCGUCCACGCUAAUCACGGAGCCGAUAUAUGCAUGACGAGUUGUUCAGGUCGACUAAGGAGGGGCGCACCGGCCCAGGGGGGAAACCCAGCAGGCAAAAGUCCCCGCGU
rnacentral:SRP_RNA from 1 species